GGUCGGUCGGUCGGUCGGUCGGUCGUUCGGUCGGUCGGUCAGUCGG
rnacentral:miRNA from 1 species